rnacentral:rRNA from 1 species
AACGAACGCUGGCGGCAUGCCUAACACAUGUAAGUCGAACGAAGGCUUCGGCCUUAGUGGCGCACGGGUGCGUAACGCGUGGGGAUCUGCCCUUUGCUUCGGAAUAACAGUUAGAAAUGACUGCUAAUACCGGAUGAUGUCGUAAGACCAAAGAUUUAUCGGCAAAGGAUGAACCCGCGUAGGAUUAGCUAGUUGGUGGGGUAAAGGCCUACCAAGGCGACGAUCCUUAGCUGGUCUGAGAGGAUGAUCAGCCACACUGGGACUGAGACACGGCCCAGACUCCGACGGGAGGCAGCAGUGGGGAAUAUUGGACAAUGGGCGAAAGCCUGAUCCAGCAAUGCCGCGUGAGUGAUGAAGGCCUUAGGGUUGUAAAGCUCUUUUACCCGGGAUGAUAAUGACAGUACCGGGAGAAUAAGCUCCGGCUAACUCCGUGCCAGCCGCCGCCGUAAUAC